rnacentral:rRNA from 1 species
CAUUAGCGUAUAUUAAAGUUGUUGCAGUUAAAAAGCUCGUAGUUGGAUUUCGGUGUGGGCCAGUCGGUCGGCCGCAAGGCCUGUUACUGACUGGUUCGCUCUUCCUCUCAAAGACUGCACGUGCCCUUCGCUGGGGGUGUGUAUUGGAUUUGGGACGUUUACUUUGAAAAAAUUAGAGUGUUCAAGGCAGGCUUUGAGGCUUGAAUACAUGAGCAUGGAAUAAUGGAAUAGGACCUCGGUCCCUAUUUCGUUGGUUUUACGGACCGAAGUAAUGAUUAAGAGGGACAAUUGGGGGCAUCCGUAUUUCGUAGUCAGAGGUGAAAUUCUUGGACCUACGAAAGACGAACAACUGCGAAAGCAUUUGCCAAGAGUGUUUUCAUUAA